rnacentral:tRNA from 1 species
GCCGGGAUGGCGAAAUGGCAAACGCAGCAGACUUAAAAUCUGCCGGCCUUCGGGCCUUGCGGGUUCGAGCCCCGCUCCCGGUA